rnacentral:rRNA from 1 species
GACGAACGCUGGCGGCGUGCCUAAUACAUGCAAGUAGGACGCAGUUGCGAACGGGUGAGUAACGCGUAGGUAACUGCCUAUUAGAGGGGGAUAACUAUUGGAAACGAUAGCUAAUACCGCAUACUAGUAGAUGGACCUGCGUUGUAUUAGCUAGUAGGUAGGGUAAUGGCCUACCUAGGCAACGAUACAUAGACGACCGGGGAGGGGUGUCGGCCACACUGGGAAUGGGACACGGCCCAGACUCCUACGGGAGGCAGCAGUAGGGAAUAUUCGGCAAAGGGGGGAACCCUGACCGGGCAACGCCGCGGGAGUGAAGAAGGUUUUCGGAUCGUAAAGCUCUGUUGUUAAGGGAGCGGUACUUAACCAGAAAGGGACGGCUAACUACGUGCCAGCAGCCGCGGUAAUAC